CCCUUAGAUGUUCUGGGCCGCACGCGCGCUACACUGACGGAGGCAGCGAGCAUGUCCUUCGCCGAGAGGUGUGGGGAAUCUUGUGAGUCUCCGUCGUGCUGGGGAUAGAUGGUUGCAAUUGUCGAUCUUGAACGAGGAAUUCCUAGUAAGCGCGAGUCAUCAGCUCGCGCUGAUUACGUCCCUGCCCUUUGUACACGCCGCCCGUCGCUACUACCGAUUGGAUGGUUUAGCGAGAGCCUUGGAUUGGAGCCCAGGUGGUCGGCAACGGCCGCUCGGGAUGCCGAGAAAUUGCUCCAGCUGACUCAUCUAGAGGAAGUAAAAGUCGUAACA
rnacentral:rRNA from 1 species